rnacentral:rRNA from 1 species
UACGUAGGGUGCAGGCGUUAAUCGGCAUUACUGGGCGUAAAGCGUGCGCAGGCGGUCUUUUAAGUCAGAUGUGAAAUCCCCGGGCUUAACCUGGGAACUGCGUUUGAAACUGGAAGGCUUGAGUGUGGCAGAGGGGGGUGGAAUUCCACGUGUAGCAGUGAAAUGCGUAGAGAUGUGGAGGAACACCGAUGGCGAAGGCAGCCCCCUGGGCUAACACUGACGCUCAUGCACGAAAGCGUGGGGAGCAAACAGG